UGGGGAAUAUUGGACAAUGGGGGGAACCCUGAUCCAGCCAUGCCGCGUGUGUGAAGAAGGCCUUAUGGUUGUAAAGCACUUUAAGAGAGGAGGAGGGUACUGGUAUUAAUACUACCAGGUACUGGACGUUACUCGCAGCAUAAGCACUGGCUCACUCUGUGCCAGCAGCCGCGGUAAUACAGAGGGUGCGAGCGUUAAUCGGAUUUACUGGGCGUAAAGCGUGCGUAGGCGGCUAAUUGAGUCGGAUGUGAAAUCCCCGAGCUUAACUUGGGAAUUGCAUUCGAUACUGGUUAGCUAGAGUGUGGGAGAGGAUGGUAGAAUUCCAGGUGUAGCGGUGAAAUGCGUAGAGAUCUGGAGGAAUACCGAUGGCGAAGGCAGCCAUCUGGCCUAACACUGACGCUGAGGUACGAAAGCAUGGGGAGCAAACAGG
rnacentral:rRNA from 1 species